AAGUACAGAUUACUCUUUAAAGCCUCACUUUUGUUUGUAGGUUAUGAUUAUAUGAUAAUAUUUUGUUUUGGUUUUUAAAUAGAAGCUUGAUUUGAAGUUGCUGAUAAGAAUGUCAUAUUAUUUGAUAGAUAAUUUUCGCUUUCCAAAAACUCAUAUUUGCAGUUAUUCAUUGCAGUAAUCACAUUCCGCCACUAUCAGUGGUAAAAUUGGCGCCAAUUUACCGUUUUGAACUUGAACAUAAGACCAACACGUGUCGUAAGUUUCCAGACGUCCCGGAAAACCAUCGAAAAUGUUUCUUUUUCGGGACGUUUAAUAGUCCUUGAUAUUACAGAAUUUGAAGUUGCCGUGAAUUCCGUAUCAGGACGAAAAAUUCAAGACAUGAUUUUAAUCUCAGAAGACAUUGAUGACGUUUUUCUUCGCCUUAAAUAAUAUUACUCUACCAGAGAUGGGCCAGCAACAAUUGCGGAGCGGAUAUUUAAGCAAAUUUACAACACAGGGGAAAAAUUAUGCACGUUUCAAGCGUCUUGCCGAGAGCUCUGAAUGGUUUUAAGAACUGUGGAAGUAAUGUUGACCAACAAAUUGACUUCUGGAGUGGGAAAGCAACUGUGCAAAUGUGUUGUGCGGAUUCAUUUGUGUUAGAUUGGACCACUGUCGAUGCAUCAACAACAUGGAGUCUUCAUGAACCGGAACCGGCACCUCUUCUCAAGAGACAGGAUCCACAACCUAACUCCACAAGGCAUUCGCACACUGAUGAGUAACAUAACUCACUACAUUCUUAUGCCAACACAUUCUAAAUGCAACCAUUUGUAAUACACCUCCAAUCAGCACCAGUCUCAUGCCUCGGUCUCCUGACUGUCGCCCGCCACCAUGUGUCCUCCCCUUACUCAAUCUUAUUCACGUUCUAUUCAAUGUAAGAAUUACGUUGAACGCGUUCAGGCAAAUAGGGAGAAAAGAUGAAGAUGAAGCUAUAAACUGGAAUGCUCGAGCUAAGCUGGCCCUUGAAAAGAAGAGGCAUUCUUCAGAAAAUGGAGGAGGAUUUGUAGUUUAUCCUCGACUGUAUGUGAUGUUUGUAGUAGAAAAUACAAAUUUAGGCAGAGCUUCUUUAGACACAAAAAGACUUGUCUUCCCAUCUUGUGUUACAAUCUUUGUUCAUGCGAAAAGUUCAAAAAAUCGUUAUAGACAGAGAGUCAUAAGAUGCUCAAACAUAUAUUCUGUUGCAAAAAAGUUUCAAUCAUCAGUAUUGUUGAAAUAAUAAUUUUCAUGUCAUGUUUGUUAUACUACUUUAGAAACACUGCAUUUUGAUUCCAAGUUGGAAUAUCAUAUACAUGGAUGAGAAAUUUGUGUGAAAAACAUUAUACCUCUUUUAUCAAAAUUACCUAAUAGCACUCAGCUUAAAACAUUAGUAGGGAACACAACAAAAUAUCAUUGUCAGAUUACAUUCGUAUAUUUUAUAACAGAACUAUGAAUAUAAGAACAACUUAAUACGUAUGUGUAGAUAAGACCAAAUUCCCAAUACAAGAUGUUCUACUAGUUUUGUAUGAAUAGAUGAAUGGAAAAGUAAAGGUAAAUUUAUUUUCCCAACAUUAACAUCCAUGUACAUAGAGUAAUGUGAAUUUUAAUCAAUGGAUGCCUGAAACAAGAACUUUAACUGACCAACAACAACAGAACUGAAACAACAAUUAGUUAAGAAUGGUGUUAAUGCAAACUGCAUCAGAAAAUUCACAAUUAAUGCCAUUGAGAUAUAUUUAAUAGAGUAUUAGAGAAAAAACUUCAUGACCAAUUAACAAAUUCUAUAAUAUAGGCCUAAAUAUAAUUUAUUCCUGGAAUAUUGAGGGUUCAGUGGUGAUGCUGAGUGAAUAUAUUUAAUGCCUGAAAAUUAAAUAUUUAAUAAUAUAUUACAUUAUAGAUACUAUUAUAUUUUAUUAUUAAAUUGGAUUCUAUCAUAUUCAAUUAAUUAAUUAACCCUCUAAAAUUGUAUCAAUAGCCUGAAAGCUAAAUAAGCUUUUUAUAUUUGCCUAUAAACCAUAAAAAUGCAACAUGAUAAUUGGAUACAAAGUGCUCGAUCCGUUGCGCGACAGUGGCAAUUCGGGUAUGGGUUUUAAACAAAUCGUCAACUGGAACUGUUGAAAGUGGGAGCUAAUUAUAUAUUGUGCUGAUUCAACACAAAUCACUAACCAAUAUGGUUUAAUUCAAUUUUUUUAAUAGUAUCGGAUGAAUUUGGUAAUAAGUUCAUUGUUGGUCAGUUUAUAAACUGAUCACCAAGGGUGUGAUGAUU